rnacentral:rRNA from 1 species
ACCUUAUGUUGCCUCGGCGGAUCAGCCCGCGCCCCGUAAAAAGGGACGGCCCGCCGCAGGAACCCUAAACUCUGUUUUUAGUGGAACUUCUGAGUAUAAAAAACAAAUAAAUCAAAACUUUCAACAACGGAUCUCUUGGUUCUGGCAUCGAUGAAGAACGCAGCAAAAUGCGAUAAGUAAUGUGAAUUGCAGAAUUCAGUGAAUCAUCGAAUCUUUGAACGCACAUUGCGCCCGCCAGUAUUCUGGCGGGCAUGCCUGUUCGAGCGUCAUUUCAACCCUCAAGCCCAGCUUGGUGUUGGGAGCUGCAGUCCUGCUGCACUCCCCAAAUACAUUGGCGGUCACGUCGAGCUUCCAUAGCGUAGUAAUUUACACAUCGUUACUGGUAAUCGUCGCGGCCACGCCGUUAAACCCCAACUUCUGAAUGUUGACCUCGGAUCAGGUAGGAAUACCCGCUGAACUUAAGCAUAUCAAUAA